UAUUAAGGCUUAUGAACGUGGAUUAGAUUGCAAUACAAAUCAAAUUCCCAUAGCUAUUCGGAACGUUCGGAGUAAA
rfam:Bacteroides helcogenes P 36-108, complete genome.